rnacentral:rRNA from 1 species
UACGAAGGGGGCUAGCGUUGUUCGGUAUUAACUGGGCGUAAAGGGUGCGUAGGCGGGGGUUUUAAGUCAGGGGGUGAAAUGCCGAGGCUCAACUUCGGAACUGCCUUUGAUACUGGAACUCUUGAGUCCGGGAGAGGUGAGUGGAACUGCGAGUGUAGAGGUGAAAUUCGUAGAUAUUCGCAAGAACACCAGUGGCGAAGGCGGCUCACUGGCCCGGUACUGACGCUGAGGUGCGAAAAGCGUGGGGGAGCAAACAGG